AAUGAACGCUGGCGGCAGGCUUAACACAUGCAAGUCGAACGCUCCGCAAGGAGAGUGGCAGACGGGUGAGUAACGCGUGGGAAUCUACCCAUCUCUACGGAAUAACUCAGGGAAACUUGUGCUAAUACCGUAUACGCCCUACGGGGGAAAGGGGGGAUCUUCGGACCUCUCGCUAUUGGAUGAGCCCGCGUCAGAUUAGC
rnacentral:rRNA from 1 species